rnacentral:rRNA from 1 species
UAAUACGGGGGGUGCGAGCGUUGUCCGGAAUCACUGGGCGUAAAGGGCGCGUAGGUGGUUUGAUAAGGGUGUGGUGAAAGUCCGGGGCUCAACCCCGGAUCUGCCGUGCCGACUGUCAAACUCGAGGACUGUAGAGGCGGGUGGAAUUCCGGGUGUAGCGGUGGAAUGCGUAGAGAUCCGGAAGAACACCGGUGGCGAAGGCGGCCCGCUGGGCUGUGGCUGACGCUGAGGCGCGACAGCGUGGGGAGCAAACAGGAUUAGAUACCCUGGUAGUCCACGCCGUAAACGAUGGGCACUAGGUGCCUGGGGGAGCGACCCCCUGGGUGCCGGCGCUAACGCAUUAAGUGCCCCGCCUGGGGAGUACGGCCGCAAGGCUG